rnacentral:rRNA from 1 species
AAGCGUGCGCAGGCGGUUAUAUAAGACAGAUGUGAAAUCCCCGGGCUCAACCUGGGAACUGCAUUUGUGACUGUAUAGCUGGAGUGCGGCAGGAGGGGGAUGGAAUUCCGCGUGUAGCAGUGAAAUGCGUAGAUAUGCGGAGGAACACCGAUGGCGAAGGCAAUCCCCUGGGCCUGCACUGACGCUCAUGCACGAAAGCGUGGGGAGCAAACAGGAUUAGAUACCCCAGU